UGACGUUUCGAAAAUGAACCUCUCCUGCCUGGUUUAUUUUACUCUGCCGUGCCAUGCGUCUUUUAAAAAUUUACAGCUUCGUUUUACUGUAUUGCUCCUGAAAAUUCUUAAAUCUCAUUCGAUCAACAGAAGCUACUUAUGGAGAACCACACGGUAGCGUAAGUUUAACCAGGCAAGAGGAAUCAAUCUAGGUUUCUUUUAUAGUAAAAAUAUAAAAAAAGCUGAGGAUAUUGAAUGAGGAUGGAUAAUCUCAGAAAGCGAGGACUUACGAAUAUAACUAAGCACCAAGCAUAGAUAAAAAUAGUAAAUCACGACAGUAUACCAUCAAUUUCACAUUUUGCAGUGUUGUACAAUUGACGUCGAAAUUACUCUAUUUGACAUUUAGGGAACAUACAACUUCUACGCUAGGUGCGUUGAUUUAUGAUCAUUUUUCAAUACUCUUGACAUAAAAUGUCGAAACAACACCUUGUCGAAUAAAUUUUAAUUUCGAUUGUUCCCUUUACUAAAAUAUCAACAAAACGAUUUCCAAUUCAGAAACAAUGGCACUUGUACAUAAUACAAAGUUUUUGCAGCAUACCACUCCAAAUAAAAUUUGAAACCAAAUAUGAAAAUAGAAAAAACUCAUUUGCUCUGCUUGUGAUAUAUAACUAAUAAAAAAUCGUAAGUGCAGGUGAAACCACACACAUUCACCAGCACUCUAUUGAAAAUGGAACAUAAAUUAUAAAUGAAAAUAAUAGGGGGAAAAUCCAUAAAAAAUAUCAAUGAAAUUCUAAACAAAAAUAAAUAAAUUAUUGUGUGUCGUUAAUAAAAUUGAUGUGAAUGUUGAUUUUUGUUUAACAAAAAGAAAACUUUUUUUAAAAAAAUUAUUGUGAGAUUAGGAAUAUAAAAAAAAUCAAUAGACGAAAAAAAACCAAAAUUAGUUUACUCUGAGUAAAGAUAGUUCGUGCAUAUAGUUCACUAAAUUAUUUAAUAAAAAUUAAAAAUCUAAAUAAAAAGCGCAUGAUGGUUGUAUUAAUUAUUAUUGUUAAUUAUUGCAAAUAAAAAAAAUCUUAUCAUCUAAGAGACACAAAAUGUGAAUACACCUAUAUACGAAACAAAAUCAGAGUUUCUUUCUAUGACGAUCACUCUAUAACGUUCUGAUUCCGACAGUACUAGAAUUUUUUAGUUGAUAAUGGCCGCAUCUCAAAAAAAUUUACAUUUCUUCCGCAGUGACGCAAAACAUCAACCAUUUGCACCAAGUGUUUAUGAUAAACAGUUUAUCGAACAAAACUUUUUGUAUUUUGAUUUCGAACUGAGCACCUCGAUAUCGAAAUGAACAACUACUGUUUCGCACUAGUGCGACAAAAAAAUAGUUGUCUCGUAAGAAUAGUAUUUUUCGUUACGAGUAAUGAAAAGACAAGCGUACGACUAGUCCUGAAAGGUUCAACUUUCAUCACGAGUCACAAACGACGAUUUUUGUGCUUGAAAACUGAAAUGAGACGAGACCACAACAACAUUAAUAAAGAAAUCACUCUACAACCAUUUCGACAACAAAGCAUCGCGGCCGGAAAAAUAUGUAUGAGAAUCCAUUUUCGGCCGCAAAUACCUUUCUCUGAGAAGUACAGAAAAAUCAAACUUUUCGAUCAUAGUUUGCGUGUCUACCUUGGCAAACUAUGUCCGAACUAGUGUUGAAAUUUCGAGUAUUUCUGGCAUCGUUUAGGAAAAAUGUUGUUCCUAACUUAUGCUGAAUUUUUUUUUUCGCGAAUUCGAUUCCAGAACUCAUCUCGUGCUGGAAACCUCUCUUUCGCUAAAAUAGCUUUCCAGCAUGCUUUAGGAAAAUAACAAUUUCUUAUUCAAAUCUAGAUAAAUUUUAUGUUUUCGUGGUGUAAAGAAUUAGUUUAGACAUACAAUGCGGCAAUGCUAUGUCUGUACUAGGAACGUUGCCAUCAACCAAUGAUCUUGAAGAAAUCUUUUAUCUUUUGCCCAAGCAGAAAUCGAAUAUAAAUUAAUGGAAAUUGAUGUAAAUUAUGGAAUAUUUUCUUUUUUGUAUCUGGCAUAGGCUUUGAUCUGAAAUAAUUAUAAUUAUAUUUAUGAGAAUAAUGUGACCAUUAUCAAUUAAAAAAAAAAAAACAAUUUAAUUCAACCAACAAGUAAUUGCUGUCACAUAAAACGUUGAAGAACAGCCGUAAAUUGUGCAAAAUCAAAACAUAUUUACAGCAUUAUUAGAGAACAUGUUAGAUUUUUGCUUUAAGAGAACUACAUAUUAAAAAUACGGAAAAUACUUAUAUAUUACCAUUUCGUGAUUGGCGGAUAAUUGUAUGUAAAAAUAAUAAUU